rnacentral:rRNA from 1 species
AUUGAACGCUGGCGGCGUGCUUAACACAUGCAAGUCGUGCGGUAACAGGCGUAGCAAUACGUGCUGACGAGCGGCGAACGGGUGCGUAAUACAUGGGAAUCUGCCCUUUAGUGGGGAAUAACCCGGCGAAAGCCGGGCUAAUGCCGCAUAAGAUCUUCGGAUGAAAGCGGGGGAGUCGUAAGACCUCGCGCUGAUGGAUGAGCCCAUGUCGGAUUAGCAGUUGGUGAGGUAAUGGCUCACCAAGGCGACGAUCCGUAGCUGGUCUGAGAGGACGGCCAGCCACACUGGGACUGAGACACGGCCCAGACUCCUACGGGAGGCAGCAGUGGGGAAUAUUGGACAAUGGGGAAACCCUGAUCCAGCGACGCCGCGUGUGUGAAGAAGG